AUUGAACGCUGGCGGCAGGCCUAACACAUGCAAGUCGAACGAGUGGCGGACGGGUGAGUAAUGUCUGGGAAACUGCCUGAUGGAGGGGGAUAACUACUGGAAACGUUAGCUAAUACCGCAUACCAUCAGAUGUGCCCAGAUGGGAGUAGCUGGUUGGGGGGUUAACGGCUCACCACGGCGACGAUCCCUAGCUGGUCUGAGAGGAUGACCAGCAAACCUGGAACGGAGACACGGCCAAGACUCCGACGGAAGGCAGCAGGGGGGAAUAUUGCACAAUGGGCGAAAGCCUGAUGCAGCAAUGCCGCGUGUAUGAAGAAGGCCUUCGGGUUGUAAAGUACUUUCAGCGGGGAGGCGUUACCCGCAGAAGAAGCACCGGCUAACUCCGUGCCAGCAGCCGCGGUAAUUC
rnacentral:rRNA from 1 species